CCUGUCUUUAAAGGACUCAUCAUAAUUAACAUCAUAAAAGACUAAUAUAUUAAACAGGUUGCCUACUUAUUAACUUAUAGUGAUUUACAACAUAGUAUGAACUAAGAUACUCAUGUUGACUGCUCUGCCUAUCAUCUCCGUUCAGAAAUCUCUAUUCAGGUAGUCAGAUUGUUCAGAUACCAUGAAAUUGGAACAAGAGUUGUCUGAUAGAUUUAAACAGCUAAUAAAAUUAAGCUGUGAUAAGCUAAUUAUCCAUUCCCAUAAGAGGUACGAAUCUCUGACAGUACAAGAAAUUGAAUUUAAUUGGCUGGUUACUCCUCUACACAGUACUAGGCACACAUUUUCCAGGAUUUCUUUGACUUAGGGAAGAUGAUUAUUGAGGUCAGAAUACAGGAGGAUCCAGGAGAAGGUUUGGAUUUCAAAUUAUAAGCAGGUCACAGUAGGAGGUUAGACUGGAAACUAUAAGCAUUAAGGGAGUGUACGUGGCUUCUUUUUAUGUUUUGCUGCCUGUGUGGUGCUGGGUAGAGUCCAUAAACGUAGAGUAACUUCUAGGGUCAGACAGCCUUAAAGCAAAGCUGAAAAAUACUUUGGUUCCCAAAGCAUUUUAUUGUGAAAAUUGGCCCAGAUAUUUGUAAUAUUAUUUUAUACUUUCAAGAAUUUUUAAAAAGGACUUCUAAUAGAUAGAAACACACAGGACCAUUUUUUUUGGUAAAUUCUCUGGCUCCAUUUUUUUCCUAAGCUGGGAUACUGUGCACAUUUCCCUCUCUUUCUAAUGACUUUAGUGAUGCAGCGUGCUCUCUUUUCUUCAUGUCUGCUCUAUUAUUUCCUCCCUUUCUUUAUUCAUUUUCAGCACAUGUGCAUUACGGGAUUAUUUUGUACUAGGUACUGGGCAAGUAAUGGAUACAAGCAGAUAUGCUUUCUGUCCUAUAGAGUACAAAAUUCUAGUAGGAGCGCCAGGCAUUAAAUCUGGGGCUGAUGUAACAAAAUGUAACAUUUAGUAGUUCUGGGAGUGGAUACAGGGGUGCAUGUUGUAUUAUACUUUGAAUAUAUGAAUGAUACUGAGUUAACAUUUAUAAAGUACCUAUUCUGUGCCAGGCAUUGUGUUAAAUGCUUUACUUGUGUUAGCCAGUUUAAUCCUCACAACGUCAUAUGAUCAUUUGAGGUAUGUAGUGUUAUUAUGUCCAUUUCCAGGUGAAAAAAUGGGCACUUAGAUUAAAUAACUUUCCCAGGUGAGUACAACUUGCAACAGUCAAAGGCAGGACUUGAAAUUAUAGUAGGUAGAAAAACAUUUCUCCUUUCUGUCUACCCCCUUUCCCCCUACUGCUUUCCAAGGACAAACUAAUCAGAAUUGGAACAAGUCUAAGCUGUGACUGGUUAGUACCUUGGAUAGCUCCCAGGGCACAGUUCCCAGAUGAAGCUCAAGGCCUCAUUGGGUCUUUUAUUCUCAGAGCAUCCCAGUAUCUGAUGGAAUUUGCCUUCUCCCUUUCCCACUCUCAGUGGGUCUCUGAGCCUUAAAGAACCUUAAAGAGGCCAGCUUCAUUUAGUAACUCAUUCAUCAACACUUGUUUAAUAUUAUCUGGAAAAUGCUAUAGUGGAAGGGUAGAGGAAGUACAUAUGGAGGUGAAUAUGCCAAUACAGUCUGUGAGGAGGGUACUUUCCUCUCAUUCACAUCCAAUACUCCUCUCCAACAUACAGCAUCCAUUAGAAGAGAAAAGACAGACUUUUUUAGCUAGUAAGGUAUUCUACAGAGAUUUAAUGACCCCAGGAGCUCUGGCACACUUGUAAUAACACAUUUUGAACAGUUAAUCAGGAGUUUAACCAACAAGGAUUAAAAGCAGGAAUUUAAAGUAAUUUCCCAACAUGGGGUAUAAUUGGUUUCUUUUGUGCUUUGCUCUGUUCAGCCAGAUAUCAAGCAAUCAUACAUUUGCUCUAAAAUACAUUUUGCUUUUCUUUAUGGAACUGCAGUAAAUAAUCUAGCUAUGUAUAGAGAUAUAUAGAUACAGUUAUGCCUUACUUAACAAUGGGAAUAUGUUUGGAG
rnacentral:lncRNA from 1 species